ACAACGUUAACGGAGGUCUCCAUGGUUUCUUCCUUGCUUGCUUCCGAUCUUCUUGCACUAGAUCAUGGUUUCCCACGAGAUUUCAGUCUACAUCUCUUGAUUUCUCAAGGUGAUUCGAUCAUCAAAGGAUUCCUUACAAGAAUUUAUGAGAGCAGUCGUAGGUGUACGGUAGAUAUAAUGGCUGCUAGCUUUUGGCUCAUGCACGCGGGAUUGCUUGUCGCACAACGGUCUUCCGACAUGGUUAUGGCGUGGAGUGAGCCACAAAAGUCUCGGGGAUAAGGAUUUCAGCACGGUCUUACGAAAUGGAGCUCUGCAAGGAUGCUAUAAUGCUCGAGAGCACGUGAGAAUGGAUCACUUGAAUUUUUUCUUCAUAUUCAGCUAUUUUGUACUAAACGCAACAGUCAUGGUGAGAUAAACCUCAGGAAAACCAAACUUGUGCCAACUCACCCCAUCAUGGCCUAGGCUAUCACCGUCGACGUUCUCAACUGCAUACGGAGAGAUUUUCACCCAGGUAUAAUUAUCUCGACAUACUAGAAGCCCUGAGUGUCGAGGUUAUUGCAUUUCAACUGGUUUUAGACCCGGUCUGCAUCCUUUCUAAUCGGUUCUCUAAAUAUCUCGCCAAAGUCGAGUGUGAUAACAUUACACAAUUGUCGGUAGAGCUUCUGUGUAGCUGUGCCUGAGCUUGUGUAAAGGUAACUUCAGACCGCAUCGGUGAUGAUAGACUCGUGUGCGCAACUUUCAUUGCUCUAGCUUUUGCCUUGUUGCUGGUGAUCGACAUGUUGACAAAAUUCAAAAUUGCAGUAAUCUUGAAUUCACGAUCAAACCUCUGGCAUUACAAAGUGA